UCAAAUUAGUUGUUGUCAAAAAGUAUAUUAAGAUUCAAACUCUUCUCUCUCCUUUUCUCUAUCAUCGUGUCAAAAGGAAAUGAGGGUAACAAAACUCAAAUCCUUGAGUUGUCAAAUUUUCAAUGCCUAAUCUGAUGCUUAAGCUUUAUAACUAGCAAAAUCAAUCUCAAAUUCUUCUUAUUCAGUAGAGGAAAUCAAAGAAAUCUCAAUUUCUGAGUUAUCAUUCUUGCAUCCUCUCACUCACUCAAAUUGUUUGUGCCGUUAAGCUUUCGACGCUGCCGUCGGGUCUCACCGGAUGUCUGCCGGUGCUAUCGCCGGCUGGGAUGCCAUCCUUCCUUUUCCAUAUGUUUUGUCGGUGUUGUCCCGGUUCUUCCACUGUUGCUGCAAUAUUUUCUCUCUCCUCUGCUUCUGUGUUGCUGUUGCCGUCUAGUUGGGUUCCGGCGUCAACAGCGUUGCGGUGCGCAAAUGUCGUUGUUAUCGUUGUUGAGUUCUACAAUUCUGAUCUCUUUAGCAAGGUAUAAAUUAUGGGUUAAGUUGUGAAUCUUAUUUCAACAAUUUCAAUCUAAUUUGUAUGCUACUAAUAGUUAAAUGAUUUUCACAUGUAUAGUUCAAUUUGUCAUGAAUUUGCAACAAUAAAUUUUGAUAUGAGGUUUUUGAAGUUAAAAAUUGAAUCUUUAUUCCUUGUAUAGUACAGUGAAAUAUACAUUUAUUUCAAAGCAUUCCAAUUCAAAGUUUUGAUUUUUCUUAAGUUAAUUUAAUAAAUCGUAUGUUAAGAAGAAGUCAUGUUCUUAUGAAUUGAGUCAGUUAGAGUUAUUAUGUAAGAUGGAUGAUGUGAAUUAGAUUUGUGGCAUAGGUUGUAUAUAUGGAUUAUAGUAGUUCAGGGAAGAGCUUAAAAAAAUAUGAAUGACUCAAGUUGUUGAUUUGAAUUGUUGUGAGAAUAGUUAAUGAUUGUAGUUAUUGUUUUGAGGUCGUUGGUGAAAUAUGGCUAUGCAGAUAAUUUAUGGAGUAAAUCUAGAGUUGGUGAUCUUCGAGAUUUGUUUAGUAGAGAAAUUGGUUUGCGGUUGAGGUGUAUGUUCGGGUUUCAGAAUGACUCAAGAGAAAGAAGUUUCAGUUAAGAGAUGGAAAUUAAAUUAGUAAUUCGAAGUUAUAUUUAGAGUAUAAGUUGUUGAAUAUUAAGUUCUCAUUUGAUGUUUGAGUAUUAUAUUGUUUUGGGAAUCGAAUAAGGUAUUAUGUAAUCUGUAAUUUGAUAAUGGUAUUUUUGGAGAUGAUUUGUUGUGGGCCCAUAACCCACAUGUCCAGGAUCGUUUUAUAGGUUAUGUUCCGCUGCAAGAAAGUAUAAUUUGAGGUUUAUUAAGCGUUAAUUGUAAUUAGUGAA